rnacentral:rRNA from 1 species
UACGUAGGUGGCAAGCGUUGUCCGGAUUUACUGGGCGUAAAGGGCGUGCAGGCGGUUUGUUAAGUGCAGGGUGAAAGCUCCCGGCUCAACUGGGAGAGGUCCUUGCAUACUGGCGAACUCGAGGGAGGCAGAGGAAAGUGGAAUUCCCGGUGUAGUGGUGAUAUGCGUAGAUAUCGUAAGGAAGACCAGUGGCGAAGGCGAGUUUCUGGACAGUAACUGACGCUGAGGCACGAAGGCCAGGGGAGCAAACGGG